UACGUAGGGUGCGAGCGUUGUCCGGAAUUACUGGGCGUAAAGAGCUUGUAGGCGGUUUGUCGCGUCUGCUGUGAAAACUCGGGGCUUAACUCCGGGCCUGCAGUGGGUACGGGCAGACUAGAGUGCGGUAGGGGAGACUGGAAUUCCUGGUGUAGCGGUGAAAUGCGCAGAUAUCAGGAGGAACACCGGUGGCGAAGGCGGGUCUCUGGGCCGUAACUGACGCUGAGGAGCGAAAGCGUGGGGAGCGAACAGG
rnacentral:rRNA from 1 species